rnacentral:rRNA from 1 species
AGUGGCGAACGGGUGAGUAACACGUGGGUAACCUGCCCAUCAGAGGGGGAUAACUAUUGGAAACGAUAGCUAAUACCGCAUAACAAUGGAUGACUCAUGUCAUUUAUUUGAAAGGGGCAAAUGCUCCACUACAAGAUGGACCUGCGUUGUAUUAGCUAGUAGGUGAGGUAACGGCUCACCUAGGCGACGAUACAUAGCCGACCUGAGAGGGUGAUCGGCCACACUGGGACUGAGACACGGCCCAGACUCC